rnacentral:lncRNA from 1 species
GUUCUUUCAUUUCUGUUUGUCUUCAUUGGCCACAGAGGUUUCCUGAAGCUCUUGGACAUUGCCAUUGCUGUAACGCCGGACCUUUCCCAACGAGAAAGGGCUUGUGACUUUUUACACAAUCGUGAACCGUCUCCCCAGGGACACUGCAGGAGAGCUCUUCUUCCCUGUGGGCUCUCUGAGGCAGGUUCAGUGGCCUUAGACCUCCUGCCAAGCCGGAACUAGCCGCUAAGCUCAUUUCUUCGAAUUCAGUCCUGUGUCCUGGACGGAGGGGGGUGAGCAGUGGUCAGAAUCUGCCUUCCCGGCGCCUUUCUUUUGCCCAGUAAGUGAAUUUGCGUCUUCAGUCCUAAGAAAGGGACCUUCCCCGAAUGCAUGUUCUCAGCCAUCGCUACCCCCACAAAAGGAUGAGUCAGGGAGGAGGCAUCUCCAGAGAUCCUCGGGAU